rnacentral:misc_RNA from 1 species
ACUUGUAAUAAGGUAUCCGUAGGUACACCUGCGGAUUGAUCUUUACCAAAGGAUCGACGUCCGACGUAACGUGAGCUGUUUCGGUGAAUGAUUGCCGGCUGCAUAUAAUGUAACUUAAGUCUUGGUUAUAACAUGAACCAGGGGAUAUGGUGGCUCUU